rnacentral:rRNA from 1 species
AUUGAACGCUGGCGGCAGGCUUAACACAUGCAAGUCGAGCGGCUGAAGGGAGCUUGCUCCUGGAUUCAGCGGCGGACGGGUGAGUAAUGCCUAGGAACGUGUCUGGUAGUGGGGGAUAACGCCCGGAAACGGGCGCUAAUACCGCAUACGUCCUGAGGGAGAAAGCGGGGGAUCUUCGGACGUCUCGCUAUCAGAUGAGCCUAGGUCGGAUUAGCUAGUUGGUGGGGUAAAGGCCUACCAAGGCGACGAUCCGUAACUGGUCUGAGAGGAUGAUCAGUCACACUGGAACUGAGACACGGUCCAGACUCCUACGGGAGGCAGCAGUGGGGAAUAUUGGACAAAGGGCGAAAGCCUGAUCCAGCCAUGCCGCGUGAGUGAAGAAGGUCUUCGGAUUGUAAAGCACUUUAAGUUGGGAGGAAGUGCAGUAAGUUAAUACCUUGCUGUGUUGACGGUACCGACAGAAUAAGCACCGGCUAACUACGUG